UACGUAGGGGGCAAGCGUUGUCCGGAUUUCUUGGGCGUAAAGCGCGUGUAGGCGGCUUGGCAAGUCCGCUGUGAAAACUCGAGGCUCAACCUCGAGAUGUCGGUGGAAACUGCUUGGCUAGAGUCCGGAAGAGGAGUGUGGAAUUCCUGGUGUAGCGGUGAAAUGCGCAGAUAUCAGGAAGAACACCUAUGGCGAAGGCAGCACUCUGGGACGGUACUGACGCUGAGACGCGAAAGCGUGGGGAGCGAACAGG
rnacentral:rRNA from 1 species